GACCAUAUGACAUUUAAACAUUGGUUCCCAUAUGCUCACUGAAGUUAAGUAACAUCGAGCCUGGUUAGUACCUAGAUGGGUGACUGCUUGAGAAUACCAGGUGAUGUAAG